UACGUAGGUGGCGAGCGUUGUCCGGAAUUAUUGGGCGUAAAGGGUGCGUAGGCGGCAGUUUAAGUGGGAUGUGAAAUACCUAAGCUCAACUUAGGAGUGGCAUUCCAAACUGGACUGCUAGAGUGCAGGAGAGGAAAGUGGAAUUCCCAGUGUAGCGGUGAAAUGCGUAGAGAUUGGGAGGAACACCAGUGGCGAAGGCGACUUUCUGGACUGUAACUGACGCUGAUGCACGAAAGCGUGGGGAGCAAACAGG
rnacentral:rRNA from 2 species